GUCCACGCCGUAACGAUGAGAACUAGGUGUUGCGGGUAUUGACCCCUGCAGUGCCGCAGCUAACGCAUUAAGUUCUCCGCCUGGGAAGUACGGUCGCAAGACUAAACUCAAAGGAAUUGACGGGCCCGCACAAGCGGUGGAGCAUGUGGUUUAAUUCGACGCAACGCGCAGAACCUUACCUGGGCUUGACAUCUGUGGAAUCCCUUCGAAAGUAGGGAGUGCCUUCGGGAGCCACAAGACAGGUGCUGCAUGGCUGUCGU
rnacentral:rRNA from 1 species